GUCGCUUUAGCUCACUUGGGAGAGCGCCAGACUGAAGCAAUCCGUUUACGCGGCAAACUUUGGUUCUACCGAACGAAAUCUGGAGGUACUGUGUUCGAUCCACAGAAGCGACA